CCUACGGGUGGCAGCAGUGAGGAAUAUUGGUCAAUGGGCGCGAGCCUGAACCAGCCAAGUAGCGUGAAGGAUGACUGCCCUACGGGUUGUAAACUUCUUUUAUAAAGGAAUAAAGUGAGGCACGUGUGCCUUUUUGUAUGUACUUUAUGAAUAAGGAUCGGCUAACUCCUUGCCAGCAGCCGCGGUAAUACGGAGGAUCCGAGCGUUAUCCGGAUUUAUUGGGAUUAAGUGGAGCGUAAGUGGGUUGUUAAGUCAGGUGUGAAAGUUUGCGGCUCAACCGUAAAAUUGCAAUUGAUACUGGCAGCCUUGAGUACAGUUGAGGGAGGCGGAAUUCGUGGUGUAGAGGUGAAAUGCUGAGAUAUCACGAAGAACUCCGAUUGAGAAGGCAGCCUACUAAACUGCCACUGACAUUGAUGCUCGAAAGUGUGGGUAUCAAACAGGAUUAGAUACCCCAGUAGUC
rnacentral:rRNA from 1 species